AACGAACGCUGGCGGCAUGCCUAACACAUGCAAGUCGAACGAGACCUUCGGGUCUAGUGGCGCACGGGUGCGUAACGCGUGGGAACCUGCCCUUAGGUUCGGAAUAACUCCCCGAAAGGGGUGCUAAUACCGGAUAAUGUCUUCGGACCAAAGAUUUAUCGCCUUUGGAUGGGCCCGCGUUGGAUUAGCUAGUUGGUAGGGUAAAAGCCUACCAAGGCGACGAUCCAUAGCUGGUCUGAGAGGAUGAUCAGCCACACUGGGACUGAGACACGGCCCAGACUCCUACGGGGGGCAGCGGUAGGGAAUAUUGGACAAUGGGGGAAAGCCUGAUCCAGCCAUGCCGGGUGAGUGAUGAAGGCCGUAGGGUUGUAAAGCUCUUUUACCCGGGAUGAUAAUGACAGUACCGGGAGAAUAAGCUCCGGCUAACUCCGUG
rnacentral:rRNA from 1 species